rnacentral:lncRNA from 1 species
UUUUUUUUCUUUUUUUACCUUUGUGCCUUAACCACCCUUGUGUGUGUUCUGGUUUGGAGCCGACAUAAGAUCCAGCCGCCCAUGGCAGUGGGUUCCUGUGUGGUUUUUUCUGGUAUACGAUGCUGACUGUAAGUCCAGUAGAUUCUGGCAUUCAGGCUCCCACGUUUGCCUUUGGCCUGUGUUUUGUUUGUGUGGUGAUUGUUUCACAAAAGUGAAUUAGACCGGCCUGGAUAAGAUACCGAAUGCUCUGAUUCUGUCUCUCGCAGAGAAGAUACGUUUGCAUAGGAUGGACACAUCCAGCGAGAUGUAUGUGUCAGUCUCCCCCAGUCCGUUCCGACUACCUUGGGACUCUAGAUGUCUUACGCCUGAUAAAGCACUGGACUAAGUAGGCUGCCCAGGAGUGCAUAUGCGACAUCCUGUGACCGGAGUUCCCAGGGUUUUCAGUCGUUCUCAUCAGUUCCCUUUUCCAGCAGCGAUGUGUUAUGUGUGUCCAGUGCGUAGUAACGCGUUCGCCCCAAAACACCAAAACACACUUAACCCCGUAGUUAGUCGAAACGUAACUAUUAUAGCUCUGAAUUAUUCAUCACCAGAUUGAGAUACGUGAGCAAUAAGACGCAAGAUGUUUAGCGAACCACACUCCUCUUUAACUCAUAGGAGCCGAGCAUACAAAGGACUCUUGAUCUCAGAUUCAGGUGAGAAACGUACUGAGUGGGAUGCGACAUCCCGUGCGAGUCAUCUUCUUCCUUGACCCUUCUGUUAGUAGACAGUACAUUAGAUAAAACAUACACGCUUUUCUCAUCCCUUCAUCAUGUUUGCACCAGAAAUUUUUCAAAAAAAAACAACAACUCUUUUGCACAAAGUGUGAAAAGGCUCCCUAGGAGUACCUAGGUAUGCUUGGGUGCUUAAAUACAUUCCCAUUGCAUAACCAACCCCCUUACCCAGAUCUCUGACAUUUUUACUAGUUUUUGAUUCGAUAAAACUUUUAGGUUUUUGUUAGCUUUCUAACCAUUCCUUUGGAUAAAUAGAAGUGCGGUGGCGACUCAACUUGUAUGAUUUACCUUGGAUUUAGUCAAUAUCUCUAAUGGUAACGAAUACCCCGCUACAAUAUGUCAUGACAUCGGGGCUGACAUCUCAGUAAAAUCCUGCACAAUCACAUUUUAAACAUCCUGCAGUUACAAGUUAUCUUAUAUGAAGACAACACAUGUGACAACUUGUGAACACUCUAGGUUUUACCAAAAUUGCUGCCAACACUUAGAACCAACAAACUCCCCCUUUGGAAAUUUUUGGCUAAAACAUAUAUCAGUCCAUUUGUUCACAAGAGUAAAAACAUAUCAGUAGUUAAGCAGCAACAGAAGAAAUAACCACACAAUUACUAGCUAUAAUGGCAACUAGUAAUAAACACACAAUAAACACAUAAGUGCUUCUUCUCCCCUUAAGUCUGUUCAACACAGACAUCUCCUUCAACUUCUUCUCCACUUAUGUUUGUUCAACACAGACAUCUCCUUCAACAACAAUAACACCUGUAACAUUCAGAAUCACCCUCUGACAUCUCCUUCAACAUCACCUGUACAACACAGAACAUUAUUCUGUUCAACAUCAGCUGUCAUCUGUUUAGCCUAGCUACUUCAACACAUGUUAACUGCAGCUCUCCACACAUUAACUUCUCCCCCUUUUAGUCAAAAUAGACCAAAGAGACCAAUUAGACAAAAUAAAUGUCAAUUAGUCCAGCAGAGAAUGUCAUAUAGAAUGUUAUAACAUAUAAAAUGUUAAAACAAAAUGUCAGGUGUUACAGAACCAAAAUUAUACACAACUAUAUGAGCUGAGAUAAUCAGAAAUCCAGAGAGCUCACAAAGAGCUAAAAAAUUACAUCAUGGCAUCAAACAAGACUGCAAAAAAACAAAAAACAAACAUCAAACAGUAAACAUCAAAGCAUCCAGAACAUCAUCAUAACAGAGGGACCAUCUUCACCACAACUCAGUCUGAGGAGCUAGCAUCUUCUUCAGCUUCAGAUCCAGAACUGCCACUAGAUUUGUCUUGAGAAUCAGACCUCUCACUUGAGGUGUGGGCAUCUGUUUCCUUGGCUUCACCAAUAUUAUCCAUAUCUCCUUGCUCCAAGAUAUUAAUUAGAAGCUCUAAAGCCUCUUUCCUAGCCUUAGCCAUCCUAAUCCCAGUCUCCAAUUCCUUACAGGUCUCUUUCAGUUCAACAAUCAGGCCACCUUGAGAGGCUGGCUUCUUCAUUGCAGAUGUCAUGACAAUGUCAUUGACAUGACUGCCUUCAAAUAACUUGUAAUGAACUGACAAUGGAGGUUUUAUUCUACUAGGGAUAUCACUUGUGCUCAAGAUACCAGGUUGCUGGCUUAGAAUUAUCCCACAAAUUAUUGAGGGAAAGGCAAUUGGCAUCUUCACUACAUUUGUGGAAGCAUGUCUAACAAUUUGUUCAAACAUGAACCUUCCAUAAUCAAAAUUAAUCCUGGUUCCAAUAGCAUAUAUUAUCCUUCCAAGAGCAUUAGAGAUUGUUGAGAUGUCGUUUGUUGGUACCCAGUUGGCUGACCCUAUCUUAUGCAAGAUAGCAUAUUUUACAGUUAAUUUGCCAGCAGAGAGAUGCUUUUUGCUUGGCCAUUCCUUGACUUGUCCAGUAGUGAUUGUCCUACAGACUUCAUUGUAUAUGGCCUCUAAUUCAACAGCUCCUUCUGUUCCUCUUCCUAGGAACUUAUUGAUCACAGUUGGAGAGAACCUUACACACCUUCCUCUAACAAACACAUUGGAAAACUCUUUGUUGUUCUUGUCAGCAAUAUCCUCCGGGAUGUUCACCACAAACUCCUUAACAAGACCUUCAAAAUAUUGGGGCAAUGCACUAUCUGUUUUCAUUAAACCAGCAAACUUGAUCAAAUCCAUAACCUCCUUCACUUCCACAACAUCCUUUCCUAGUUCCCUUUCCACAUCUACUCUCCUUAGUAUAACAAAUGCACACAUGCAUCACUCAUUACCAAUUUUGGAAAGUCAUUUGGAAGGUGCAAAUAUCACAUGAUCCAGCUAUAAAUAGAGCUCCAUAUGCUCAGAAUUCAAGACACAUUCACGCUAGCUUUGAUCCUAAACCCCUAACCCUGCCAUUUGAGAGGAUAAACAUGAGAAUUUCCUUUGAAAAUUGAGUUGGAUUAUCACUGUUUUGAGAUUCUAAACUACAGGGAUCCAAGACCUUUUGUGCAUUCUAAUCUAUUCCUGCAAGCAUCCUGAGCAAGAUCAAGCACGGGCCAAAGCAAGAAUAGUUGAAUCCAGACCUGCAUUGAAGGUAUUUUCUAGAAAAUUUCAUCUCUUCGAUUCUCUCUUAACUCCACUCAAUUCUCUUGGAUCCUUGGUUGUUUGAAGUCCUACCAAUGUAGGCAAGAAAAUUGAGUUGCUUAGAGGUCAAAUCGAAGCAACUCAGUUGAUACACCUCAAAAUUCAAUUCCUCAUAUCUUUCUAUAUAUGUGGAGUUAGUUAAAAUUGAGGCCAGAUUCAUGCUCUACGCCAUUUUUUCUUUCAGAUCAUGUCCUCCUUUUUCAUUUUCUUGAUGGUGAUGAGUGGACCAGUCCGACCAGGGUCACCGGAGAAGAUGACCGGCCUUUGGACGCCAGUGAUGUGUUGGCAUGGUUUAGAGCCAUUGAUCCUUUUCAAAUUUUUUUAAUCUCGUGCGCUGCUUUUAAAUACCGAGCCUAUGCCCCGUUGAGUCAAGUCCACCAUAGAACGUGCGCUGGUGGCCACUUGAUCUACCACCUCAAUUAAUGAGGGAGAUCAAGUGGUCCAUGCUUUUUGUUAUUUUCUGAUUUUCUUUUAAUCCUUUUAUUUUCAUUAAUUCAUAUUAAUCCAAAAAAUAUGAGAGUUUCAUCAAAAAAUUUCAAAAAUUUUCCUCUUUUAUAUUCUGAAUUAAAAUUAUUUUUUGGAUCAUUAUUAAUUUUUUUCAUGAUUUAAUUGAUUUUGCAUUUGUUUUUAAUUGUUUAAAAAUACUUUUAAGUCUUUAAAAAUUCUGAAAUUUCUUCUCCAAGGUCCUUUGACCUUGUUUGACAUAUGAUAAAUCUCAUGGCCAUUUAUUUGGUGUUUUGAUGAGGUUUUAGGAAUUUGACAAACCAUAUUUAAUUUAAAUGCCUUAUUUUAGUAUUUUUAAGUUUGACAUAUGAUAAAUCUCAUGGCCAUUUAUUUGGUGUUUUGAUGAGGUUUUAGGAAUUUGACAAACCAUAUUUAAUUUAAAUGCCUUAUUUUAGUAUUUUUAAUUUGAAUAAAUGCCAAAUAAUGUUGUUGACCAAUUGUAAUGACUUGUUUGAGUUUGACUCUUGUUGUUGGGCCUUGGUCAAGGUUGAUUUGACUUUGUCAAGUUAAUAUCAUUGGAUUUAAGGGAUUGAUGAAAUGUACAUUCCAUCUCACAAAAUGAAUGAAUGAUAUGAAUUUGGUAAAAGUCUUCCUUUUACCAAUUUGAGUUUUGAUCCAUUCCCCUCCCUCUUCAUCUCAUUCCUCUUCUUUAUGCAUUCAUCUCAUUUGGCCUAUGAUAUCUCAAAGUCCUAAAGCUACUUGGUUGAAAAAUUAACAUGAGUAUGGAUGAGAUUAGGCCACACCUUUUGCAUAUUCUUUUUGUGUGUGGUAUUGUCGAAUCUCGAAAAAUACGAUUCCUCGCGAUGAUCGCGGAAAAAAUUAGUUCGAACAGAGUCGCCACCGAACUUUAUUUAUCCCAAUGAAGGAAUAGGAAAAUAUCGAUAAAACCUCUAAGAAAAUAGAAUAAUGGUCGUCGCAACCAUAUUCGGGUUCAGGAGCCGAUUAUGCAAGGGAAAUGUAUUAACACCCCUCACGCCCGUUGUACUCAACGGGAACCUUUUAGUUUAAUUUGCGAUUUGAAUGUUAGCUUAUGUUGUUUGUUUUCUUCGAGUGAUAAGAAUAUUGAAAAAGAGAUGGAUGGAAACCUCAGAAGGGGGAAAAAGGAGGUUUUUUAUUAGUGUGCUCGCCAAGAUCUCGCAAUCUCGUGCCUACGUAUCCUUAUGGUGCAAUAAGCAAAUCAAAGCAUUCGUAGUUCAGGGAACUACGAUUGGUUGGUGUUUUUUAUGAACAACUGUGUAGAUCACGUUCUAAAGGCUAAACGCUGGCUUGUCUACUCUCGACGGAGGCUUAAGCACUAGUUUGUUGUGCGUAUUAGAAAUGAUUAACAAUGUUCUUUUUGAAUAGAGUUUUGGUCACGCGGGGGGUGACAAGUUGCAUAAAUACGUUAGAUGUUUUGUUUGAUUGGUUUUGAUUGCACGGGGGCGAGAAAAGAUAGGUUUGUUGUGUUAAGAUAUUUUUGGUUGGAUUACGAUUACUCGGAUAGUCGAGUAAGACAACUCGUAUCCUAAUAGCCGAGGAGAGAGAAUAGAAGACUCUAGACCACUUUCUUUUUCAUCCUUAGUUAUGAAAAGGAAUUAAUAAUAGUUAAGGUAUUUUAAAUGGAUGACGAUUACUCGGAAAGUCGAGUAAGACAACUCGUACCCUAAUAAUCGGAAAAAGGAAUAGAAGACUCUAGACCACUUUCUUUUUCAUCUAAGUGAUUAUGAAAAUAGGUUUAUGUAUCGUGGAUGUUUUUAGAAUAAACGACAAGUACUCGAAUGGCUGAGUAAAACAACUCAUAUCCAAGCAUUUGAGGAGAGGAAUAGAAGGCUCAAGACCAUAUCCCUUUUCGUAUAGUUUAUUGUGAAAAGUAAUUUGAUUAGGUUAUAAGUUUGGGAAAAUGACAAUCGUUCGACGGACCGAGUAAGAGAACUCGUAUCCCAACAAUUGGGGAGAGGAGUUGAAAACUCAAAACCAUCUCCUUUUUCAUUUCGCUUAUUAUGAGAGUGUUUUUUAUUUAAUCGGGUUUUGAAGUUUGUAAAGAAAUGACGAGUGUCUAACUGACCGAGUAAGAAAACUCAUAUUCAAACAAUCGAGGGGAGGAGUUAAAGGCUUAAAACCAUCUCCCUUGUCAUUUCGUCAUCAUGAGAAUAAAUUGAUUUAAUUGUGUUUAGGUGGAUAGGAGUGAGUUAGAAAUGACGAUUAUUUGACUAACCGAGUAAGAGAACUCGUAUUCAAAUAAUCGAGAGGAGUUAAAGACUCAAAACCAUCCCCCUUUUCGUUCCUAAAUGAAAGGGUAUUUAAUAGUAAUUAGGUAUUUUUUAAUUAAAAUACUCGAUGUUGGAUCGAUUAAAUUUACGUUUUGUGAAUAAAUUGGAUUUUAUUUAGUGAAUUGAUCAUCUACUCGAUUAAUUAAAAUCGAAUAGGUCUCAUUGUAAGAAAACCCAAGAGUAAGCUAUGUGAGGUUGAUGGCGAUGCUUAAAGCAAUCGACUUAUAAGGGUAUUUGAAAAAUAGGCUUGAUAUUGAAUCGAGAAUUUUUUGAUUUUAGUGGUUUAAAGUGGUUUAAAAUCGAUGAUGAAAUUGAAUGAAAUCAGGCUUGUAUUAUGAAAUGGAAGAUGGUGGUUAAAUAAAUCAGUCCAUUUUCAAUUAACAAAAUUAAUUGAUUAAAAUCCAGUUAAGUCAUCUAAUUAAGCUAAUUAAAAUUAAUUAUCCAAAUUAUUUGAUUAAAAAUUAAUAUAAUCAAAUAUUUAAAUUAAUUAAAAUUAGUUAACAAAAAUGAACUAAUUUAAUUAGAACUUUAAUUAAUUAAUUUAAUAGGUGACGAUAUUGUGUAUAAAAUAAUCGAAUUUGAAUAGGCCACCAUGUGCUCAAGAACCGGUUUGUGCGAAAUGACAAUAGGAUUAAUGUCAUACGUAAAAAUCAAAACGCGGCAAAAAUAUUCUAUUGAUGUAUUGUAAUUUUGGCAACAUAUCGACAUGAAAUUGUCGAAUUCGCGGAUAAAAAAUCCGAAAAUAAAUGGAAUAAAAUAGUAGCAAUACAAUUAUUAUUUACAUUAUGCUACAAUACUUAACAAACAACUAACAAUAUUUAGAACAAAACAACUAUAAGUAAUGCAGGGAUACAGAAAGUAGCUAGCUGCAACAUGAAUAAAACGAGACUAUAGUAACACCAUCAUCACAAUACAUAAGCACACCAUACUAUAUUCACAAUAAAUACAAACUAAAUGGCAAACUAUUUUCAAAUAGAAAAAAUUAUUUACAUUGCUCUAACAUAUUAAAACUCAAGAAUAAUAUAAUACAUAAGAACUCAAACAAUAUGCCAAAACUCAGAAACAUGCAAUGCAAUAAAACUUUAAAAAAACCAUACAUUAAAACUUAUAAUUAUAAUUCAACAUUUAGCAGUGAAUGCAAACUCUACAGCAGAAACAACCACGCCAUUAGGAUAUCUAUUUAAUCAACAUCUUAAACUGGUAUUUGAAUAAAAUACAUAUAAUACUCAAACAUUAAACUCAUCUAUCGAUCAUGUUAUUAACAUGAAAACAAGCUUUAACUCAACAUAAUAAAAUAUAUUUAAAUUAAAUACAGUAUAAAAGUGAAACAAUCCAACUCAAUGCGAAAAUGAAUCAAAAAUUUAAAUUAUAACACAAAUUAACUCUAAAGACAACAAUUUCAAGCAGAAAUUCCGAAUCAAAAUAUUACCCCAUGAAAUGUAUACACGACUGCUUCACGUUAUUCUUUCGUGAUUAGAAACGGAAUGGACUCUGGCGCUGUUGUAACAAGUUCAAAAUUGAAUUCAAAUCUUGAAUCAAACCCGCAACCUGCACAAACACUGACAAAAAAUCCAAACGUAGUAGAGCAAAAUCUUUGCCAAUUUGAAAUCGACAAAACAUAACGGUGUUGAGAAAUCUGAAUUCAGAAGUUUAAAGAUAAUGCUGAAAGUUACAGUGGUGAUGUUCAAAAGAGACGUAUGACCUCUUCUCCAGCCGACUUAGCUCAACAUUAACAUUGAGGUUCAUUGAAAUCAUUUCGUGAAGUCGACAUAGUUUUCAGAUACACUAACAACCACAUAUCUCCUGUUCAAUUAAAUUGUUUAGCUGUAUCGAUCUGGGAAGAUUCGUCCACAUCAAGAGGAUCAAAAUCAGAAGCACUGCAAAAGCCAAUUGAAUCUGAAACUCUUCUUGAACACGGUGUUUGCUCAAAAACCAAGCCAUACGAUUGUGAGCGGAAAUGAGAUGCAAAAAAAAAUUCAAUACAAACAGCAACCCAAUCAAACAAAGCUUCGCUAACUCGAGACCGACAAAAGCAAAGUUGAAGAAAAAAGUUUCGUUGUUGUUCGAUGCUGCGGCGUCAUUGUUGUUGAGAAUCACCAGUGAGUUGGUGUGAAUCCGGAAUAAUGUUGUUGCUGAAGUUGUUAGCUGCAACCGUAAACUCACUCCUGAAAAAUCAACGGAGAGGCUUCUGAACUUAUCAUUGCAAUACUACUCAUGGAGACAUUAUAGCUUCCUUUCCAGAUGAUUAAUGGACGAAUGCGAAGCUCGGUGCUGUGAGUUGGUGUUGUGGCUUUGGUAGAACAGAUAGGAGCAUAUUUUUGUAUGGUUAGUUGAAGAGCUUUAAGAUGAGUGUGGUGAAGGUUCGGUGGAAGGUGGUUAGCGCGGUGGGAUCUGAAGAAGUAUUGAGAUGGUGUUUCGUUGUUGAAGACAGAUCGAGGCGGAAGGAGGGUAUGGGUUGUAAUGCAAGACUCAAUUAUGUCAUUUGAUGGAGGUUGCUGCAAGACUCGCGGCAGUCUUAGGAGGAAAUAAGUGGUGAGUUGAAAGGAGGAGGUAAGGUGUGCGGUGUUGGAGGAUUUUGAGAGGAAUACGAAAGAAGAUGAUAGGUGGUCUGGUGAUGGCGGUUUUGGCCAGCCGGAGGUUUACGAAAGGAAAAGGUUGGAUAAGAAGAGAAGAUUCUUGUCCGUUGAAGAGAGAGAAAGGUAUUGGAAAAUCGCCCCCCUCCAAAAACUGCCUCAAGAGGGUAUUAUCCUUGGUGGAAAAGAGAAAACCGUUCGGAGUGGAGACCCAGAAUCACGUGUCCGUUCCUUCCACAAAACUAAUUUUUCUUAUCCUCUGGAUGGUGCCACGUGUCGGUGAAUCAUUGGAAUAGUACUAACUUUGUGCUAGCUGG